CACGGGGGGAGCAAGCGUUGUUCGGAUUCAUUGGGCGUAAAGGGCUCGUAGGUGGCUUUGUAAGUCGGAGGUGAAAUCCCACGGCUCAACCGUGGACACGCCUUCGAAACUGUGAAGCUUGAGGCUGGGAGAGGAGAUCGGAAUUCCUGGUGUAGCGGUGAAAUGCGUAGAUAUCAGAAGGAACAUCAGUGGCGAAAGCGACUUCCUGGACCAGAACUGACGAUCAGGCACGAAAGCGUGGGGAGCAAACAGG
rnacentral:rRNA from 1 species